UACGUAGGGUGCAAGCGUUUAAUCGGAAUUACUGGGCGUAAAGCGUGCGCAGGCGGUUUUGUAAGUUUGUCGUGAAAUCCCCGGGCUCAACCUGGGGAAUGGCGAUGAAGACUGCAAGGCUAGAAUCUGGCAGAGGGGGGGUAGAAUUCCACGUGUAGCAGUGAAAUGCGUAGAGAUGUGGAGGAACACCGAUGGCGAAGGCAGCCCCCUGGGCUAACACUGACGCUCAUGCACGAAAGGCGUGGGGAGCAAACGAGG
rnacentral:rRNA from 1 species